AGAGUUUGAUCAUGGCUCAGAACGAACGCUGGCGGCGUGGAUAAGACAUGCAAGUCGAGCGCUGAUUCCGGGGUAGCAAUAUUCCGGAGUUGGAGCGGCGCNNGGGUGCGUAACACGUGGGUAAUCUGCCAGGAAGUUGGGGAUAACUUGCUGAAAGGCGAGCUAAUACCGAAUGUGACCAUCGGGAGGCCUCUCCUGAUGGUUAAAGUUGGGGACCGCAAGGCCUGACGCUUCCUGAUGAACCCGCGGCCUAUCAGCUAGUUGGUGAGGUAACGGCCCACCAAGGCUAAGACGGGUAGCUGGUCUGAGAGGACGACCAGCCACACUGGAACUGAGACACGGUCCAGACACCUACGGGUGGCAGCAGUCGAGAAUUUUUCACAAUGGGCGCAAGCCUGAUGGAGCGACGCCGCGUGGGGGAUGAAUGGCUUCGGCCCGUAAACCCCUGUCAUUUGCGAUCAAACCUCGUUAUUUAAAAAGAUGACGAGCUGAUAGUAGCGAAAGAGGAAGGGACGGCUAACUCUGUGCCAGCAGCCGCGGUAAUACAGAGGUCCCAAGCGUUGUUCGGAUUCACUGGGCGUAAAGGGUGCGUAGGUGGUGAGGUAAGUCGGAUGUGAAAGCUCGGAGCUCAACUCCGAAAUGGCAUUGGAAACUACCUUGCUCGAGGGUUGGAGGGGGGACUGGAAUGCUUGGUGUAGCAGUGAAAUGCGUAGAUAUCAAGUGGAACACCAGUGGCGAAGGCGAGUCCCUGGACAACUCCUGACACUGAGGCACGAAAGCUAGGGGAGCAAACAGGAUUAGAUACCCUAGUAGUCC
rnacentral:rRNA from 1 species